AAUCAACGCUGGCGGCGUGCCUCAGACAUGCAAGUCGAACGAUUAAGACUCUCUUCGGAGAGUGCAUAAAGUGGCGCACGGGUGAGUAACACGUAAGUAAUCUACCUUUGGGUGGGGAAUAACAGUCGGAAACGACUGCUAAUACCGCAUAAUGCAGCGGCUCCUUAUGGAGACAGUUGUUAAAGAUUUAUCGCCUAAAGAGGAGCUUGCGGCAGAUUAGCAGUUGGUAAGGUAACGGCUUACCAAGGCGACGAUCUGUAUCCGACCUGAGAGGGUGGUCGGACACACUGACACUGAAUAACGGGUCAGACUCCUACGGGAGGCAGCAGUCGGGAAUUUUGGGCAAUGGGCGAAAGCCUGACCCAGCAACGCCGCGUGAAGGAUGAAGUCUUUCGGG
rnacentral:rRNA from 1 species